AGCGGCAGCGACAUAAACAAACCUUCGGGGGCGAUUAUGGGCGGCGAGCGGCGGACGGGUGAGUAAUGCCUGGGAAAUUGCCCUGAUGUGGGGGAUAACCAUUGGAAACGAUGGCUAAUACCGCAUAAUAGCUUCGGCUCAAAGAGGGGGACCUUAGGGCCUCUCGCGUCAGGAUAUGCCCAGGUGGGAUUAGCUAGUUGGUGAGGUAAUGGCUCACCAAGGGGACGAUCCCUAGCUGGUCUGAGAGGAUGAUCAGCCACACUGGAACUGAAACACGGUCCAGACUCCUACGGGAGGCAGCAGUGGGGAAUAUUGCACAAUGGGCGCAAGCCUGAUGCAGCCAUGCCGCGUGUGUGAAGAAGGCCUUCGGGUUGUAAAGCACUUUCAGCAGUGAGGAAGGGAGUGUAGUUAAUAGCUGCAUUAUUUGACGUUAGCUGCAGAAGAAGCACCGGCUAACUCCGUGCCAGCAGCCGCGGUAAUACGGAGGGUGCGAGCGUUAAUCGGAAUUACUGGGCGUAAAGCGCAUGCAGGUGGAUGAUUAAGUCAGAUGUGAAAGCCCGGGGCUCAACCUCGGAAUAGCAUUUGAAACUGGUUAUCUAGAGUACUGUAGAGGGGGGUAGAAUUUCAGGUGUAGCGGUGAAAUGCGUAGAGAUCUGAAGGAAUACCGGUGGCGAAGGCGGCCCCCUGGACAGAUACUGACACUCAGAUGCGAAAGCGUGGGGAGCAAACAGGAUUAGAUACCCUGGUAGUCCACGCCGUAAACGAUGUCUACUUGGAGGUUGUGGCCUUGAGCCGUGGCUUUCGGAGCUAACGCGUUAAGUAGACCGCCUGGGGAGUACGGUCGCAAGAUUAAAACUCAAAUGAAUUGACGGGGGCCCGCACAAGCGGUGGAGCAUGUGGUUUAAUUCGAUGCAACGCGAAGAACCUUACCUACUCUUGACAUCUACAGAAGCCAGCGGAGACGCAGGUGUGCCUUCGGGAACUGUAAGACAGGUGCUGCAUGGCUGUCGUCAGCUCGUGUUGUGAAAUGUUGGGUUAAGUCCCGCAACGAGCGCAACCCUUAUCCUUGUUUGCCAGCACUUCGGGUGGGAACUCCAGGGAGACUGCCGGUGAUAAACCGGAGGAAGGUGGGGACGACGUCAAGUCAUCAUGGCCCUUACGAGUAGGGCUACACACGUGCUACAAUGGCGCAUACAGAGGGCAGCGAACUUGCGAGAGUAAGCGAAUCCCAAAAAGUGCGUCGUAGUCCGGAUUGGAGUCUGCAACUCGACUCCAUGAAGUCGGAAUCGCUAGUAAUCGUGAAUCAGAAUGUCACGGUGAAUACGUUCCCGGGCCUUGUACACACCGCCCGUCACACCAUGGGAGUGGGCUGC
rnacentral:rRNA from 1 species